GGUCUCCAUGGAGACAUAAAUGCCCAAGUAACUGAUGCUACUACCUGGAGGGACUCACCUUUACCAACACCAAGGGAGCCAGCCCUGAGAGUUCAUGCCAAGUCAUCUUUCUCCUGCUUUGUUCCCUGGAACUGAUAAACUGCUGCUUCGAAAAACCAGAAGGCCUUGCCUCUAUUUUGUUUUCAGUUCUACUCCCUAAGAGCCUCAGCAUAAAUAUGAGAGGAGAUAAAGGGAAAGUUAAGAAACUUCUGUUAGCAUUCUGAUGUUCAAACCCAAGUCUUGAUCUUCCUGUUGAGGGCCAUCCAAGAGCACCAUGAUGAAGUGGAAAGAGAUUGUUCACAAGAAUGAUCACUUACAGAAGACUGAGCCCAAGGCCCUUGCUGAUGGAUUCCCAGACUUAUAUGCAUCCGAGAUUGAAGAACUUAAACAUCUUGCCCUUGCCAUGACCACAAAUCAGAGAGUAAUAAAAUUUAAUGUCCAUGGACUUUGACCUUCAAAAGACCAAAGACAGGCUGUUUCAAGAACGCGGUCUUGAACAAUUUGUUGACAUCUUCACAAAAGAAAAAUAAUUCUCUAAAUCAGUAACUGAGUCUCCGGAAGGUUUCUUCUUGGAAACCCCCACAUAGUCUCAUGAGCACCUACAAUGACAGAAAGGGAGGGAAUUUAUCAGCAUGUUAAUGUUUAUUCAGUGCAUCUGUGGGUGGAAGAAGAGUCAAGACUCUCCUGUUCUGCCAUGUUGCUGAUGUCUUCUAGUUUGUUUCCUAUAAAGAACAGUGCCCAGCACAAAUCAGAUUUCCAAUAAAUAUCUGGAGAGUGAUUGUUUGUGUCACUUGGAACUGCCACUACCAUCUUGGAACCCUGAGUCCAAAGGCAAGAAGAUGAGUAGAAAAAAAGAAGACUUGUUGCAGCAUCUCAUGUGUCUAACCUGAAGAUAAACCAGCAUCAGAAAGCAUUAAUUAGCUCAUCAUUCAAACUGUCUUCAGUGAAAAAUUAUCUGAGGCUGUGCAAGCCAGGAAAUGCCUGUCAGUGCUCAACCUGUCAGAAUCUCCAUUUGACCACAGGGUCAUUUGCAGUGGCAUCUGAUGGGAAAGUCAGCAUCCCCAGUAGCAUACUCGUGAGAGCAUUUCCCCAGGACUGUUCUAGUAAACAGGCUCUGGCUCAUUGCUUAAAUGUUGGCUAAAGACAGAGCCAUCUGGAAAGCAGGGUAUUAGAAUGAUCUCUAUUUUUCCAAGAAUCAAAGCAAGGUGGAACAUUUCAGAAUGAAACCAUGGAUGUUAUUCAUAAAAUCUGGGCCACAUAAGGUUAGAGGCAUAUUGAUUUUCAGUCUCAGGAUGAAAUGGCCAUCUUUGGCCUUUCAGGAAAAUGACCACAGAUUAAGAUGAUGAAGAACAGAUGCCACUAUUUGAAGCUUCAAUUAGAAAGCCCCAAAUGGGCUUAAUCGACAAGACAGCCAUAACAACUGUGUCCUGCCACAGAUUGACGGAAGGAAGACAAAUGUUUUAAUGUGGUGAAGACAAAUCUAGCUGCUUCCAAACAAAUGAUCUGGUCAGUUUGAAAAAGUUGGAAGGAAUCAAACUUGCCAAUAUGUACCAAGUUCCAGGAAGGACUUAGAUUUGAGUAAUUCAUGUUGGAAUUAAGUUUAAGAACAAAAACCUUUUUUAAAAAAUGUUUUCUUAGAUGAGCUCACCCAUGAGACUAUCUAUACCUGGCAGGGUUUAGAGAAAGCAUAGACAUAAAUCUACCUCUGCCUUGCCUAGAAGGCUUUGUGUCUCUUUUUCUGUAAAUCUUCCUCUCUUUUAGUAGCCCUUCCCUUCCCACUACCCAAAAGCAUCAUCCUCCCAUAAUGGCUCAGACAUAGAUUAUAUCUAUAAAUUCAUUCCCACCAAUUAGUGAUCACUGACUAAUGUUGAAUUAUUUUUCUUUAUGGAAAAACCUAGUGUUUACGCCAGUGAAAUGUAUCACUAAUAGUUGGAUUUCAGGUAUCAGCCACUAGUUGGAAAGAUAUCAGAGGGAAAACAUAUAUUCAUUCCACAGUCAUUUAUUCAUACGAUAGCCAUUAAUAUCACCUUUUUGAACAUCUUCCUUUUGUAAGUUACAAUGAAAAUACAAUAAAAUAUAAGUUAAAUUUCUUUUGCUCCAGAUUUUAUUUACAAACAGGGGAGUUAAGAUAUAUAGAUAAAUAACUAUACAUUAAGUCAGUGCCUGAUAUAGAUAUAUCA
rnacentral:lncRNA from 1 species